rnacentral:rRNA from 1 species
GACGAACGCUGGCGGCGUGCCUAAUACAUGCAAGUAGAACGCUGAAGAGAGGAGCUUACUCUUCUUGGAUGAGUUGCGAACGGGUGAGUAACGCGUAGGUAACCUGCCUUGUAGCGGGGGAUAACUAUUGGAAACGAUAGCUAAUACCGCAUAACAAUGGAUGACACAUGUCAUUUAUUUGAAAGGGGCAAUUGCUCCACUACAAGAUGGACCUGCGUUGUAUUAGCUAGUAGGUGAGGUAAUGGCUCACCUAGGCGACGAUACAUAGCCGACCUGAGAGGGUGGUCGGCCCACCUGGGACUGGGGCCCGGCCCAGACUCCUACGGGGGGCAGCAGGAGGGAAACUUCGGCAAUGGGGGCAACCCUGACCGAGCAACGCCGCGUGAGUGAAGAAGGGUUUCGGAUCGUAAAGCUCUGUUGUAAGUCAAGAACGGGUGUGAGAGUGGAAAGUUCACACUGUGACGGUAGCUUACCAGAAAGGGACGGCUAACUACGUG